UUUCAAACUCCAUUAUUCUGUUUGCAAAUUUCUCCACUGCAGGGGUGUGUUGUUGAGGGUGCUGCCAUGGCAACUACUUCAACCUCUAACUCUUAUCCUAAAGAUUUGCAGCUACCGUUGGAUAAAUUCCACCGUAUUUUUGAGGAUCCUAAAGUGUUGCCACAUUUUAGAAGUCAUAAUCUCUCAAUUCCCUUAUUGCCAUCUGCUCUGCAUGUUAAUAUCAGGCCAUAUAGGUAUCCACACUUCCAAAAGACUGAAAUAGAGAAAUUGGUGAAAGAAAUGUUGGAGAGUGGAGUCAUACAGCCUAGUACUAG
rnacentral:misc_RNA from 1 species